AUUUAACUACUAGCCUACGACGGGUACGGGUUGUGAGAGCAAGAGCCCGGAGAUGGAUUCUGAGACACGAAUCCAGGCCCUACGGGGUGCAGCAGGCGCGAAAACUUUACAAUGCUGGCAACAGCGAUAAGGGAACCUCGAGUGCCAGGUUACAAAUCUGGCUGUCGAGAUGCCUAAAAAGCAUUUCAUAGCAAGGGCCGGGCAAGACCGGUGCCAGCCGCCGCGGUAACACCGGCGGCUCGAGUGGUAACCGUUAUUAUUGGGUCUAAAGGGUCUGUAGCCGGCCGGAUAAGUCUCUUGAGAAAUCUGGCAGCUUAACUGUCAGGCUUUCAGGAGAUACUGUCUGGCUCGAGGCCGGGAGAGGUGAGAGGUACUUCAGGGGUAGGGGUGAAAUCUUGUAAUCCUUGAAGGACCACCAGUGGCGAAGGCGUCUCACCAGAACGGACCUGACGGCAAGGGACGAAAGCUAGGGGCACGAACCGGAUUAGAUACCCGGGUAGUCCUAGCCGUAAACGAUACUCGCUAGGUGUCGGCCACGGUGCGACCGUUGUCGGUGCCGUAGGGAAGCCGUGAAGCGAGC
rnacentral:rRNA from 1 species